CUAGGGCUCCAGAGGAAGCCACGGCUAACUCUGUGCCAGCAGCCGCGGUAAUACAGAGGCGGCAAGCGUUGUUCGGAAUUAUUGGGCGUAAAGAGCACGUAGGCGGCCUUGCAAGUCAGUUGUGAAAGCCUUCCGCUUAACGGAAGAAUGCCAGCUGAUACUACAGGGCUUGAGUACGGGAGGGGAGAGUGGAACUUCUGGUGGAGCGGUGAAAUGCGUAGAUAUCAGAAGGAACGCCGGCGGCGAAAGCGACUCUCUGGCCCGAAACUGACGCUGAGUGUGCGAAAGCUAGGGGAGCAAACGGGAUUAGAUACCCCGGUAGUCCUAGCCGCAAA
rnacentral:rRNA from 1 species